GCGAAAGAAAAUGAGGUUCCAUAUCGGCGUUAGUCGUUAAACUGUUUAGCGGUUUGUUAGCUAAAUAUUUUAUAACGGAAUGAGAGACGUAAAUAGGAGCCGUGGAUCUGGUUAAAUACUGAGGUGCGUCGAAACAAAUGCGCGAAACGAGUUCAACAGAUUUUAUUUUGUCAUUUAACAGUCGUUCAAUGAAACGAAUACCGGCAGCGCGUUUUCGUUCAGCCAAUGCUGGCGUAUCUGAUGUGCUAUCUGUCCUAAUACGGUAUUGCAUCAAAGUGAUCACUGUUUAAGCUUUCUCCGUGUAAAAUAAAAAAAAAACCGGGAAAAUAAACGAUUCCCGCGGACAACUGUGAUGGAACCGAGAAUGGUGACGUAGUGGGGUUGAAGAGUGUACUGUCUUACGGAACAAGACUGAAUUUGGCGGUUAUUGGGCGAAUUUUAACUAUCCCACACGCCACGAGUAAUCACUGUAUCUAUCGCUGCCCGCCGC